UGCAGUCGAGCGGACGGAUGGGAGCUUGCUCCCUGAAGUCAGCGGCGGACGGGUGAGUAACACGUGGGCAACCUGCCUGUAAGACUGGGAUAACUCCGGGAAACCGGGGCUAAUACCGGAUAACUCUUUUCCUCACAUGAGGAAAAGCUGAAAGAUGGUUUCGGCUAUCACUUACAGAUGGGCCCGCGGCGCAUUAGCUAGUUGGUGAGGUAACGGCUCACCAAGGCCACGAUGCGUAGCCGACCUGAGAGGGUGAUCGGCCACACUGGGACUGAGACACGGCCCAGACUCCUACGGGAGGCAGCAGUAGGGAAUCUUCCGCAAUGGACGAAAGUCUGACGGAGCAACGCCGCGUGAGUGAUGAAGGUUUUCGGAUCGUAAAACUCUGUUGUCAGGGAAGAACAAGUACCGGAGUAACUGCCGGUACCUUGACGGUACCUGACCAGAAAGCCACGGCUAACUACGUGCCAGCAGCCGCGGUAAUACGUAGGUGGCAAGCGUUGUCCGGAAUUAUUGGGCGUAAAGCGCGCGCAGGCGGUUCCUUAAGUCUGAUGUGAAAGCCCCCGGCUCAACCGGGGAGGGUCAUUGGAAACUGGGGAACUUGAGUGCAGAAGAGAAGAGUGGAAUUCCACGUGUAGCGGUGAAAUGCGUAGAGAUGUGGAGGAACACCAGUGGCGAAGGCGACUCUUUGGUCUGUAACUGACGCUGAGGCGCGAAAGCGUGGGGAGCAAACAGGAUUARAUACCCUGGUAGUCCACGCCGUAAACGAUGAGUGCUAAGUGUUARAGGGUUUCCGCCCUUUAGUGCUGCAGCAAACGCAUUAAGCACUCCGCCKGGGGAGUACGGCCGCAAGGCUGAAACUCAAAGGAAUUGACGGGGGCCCSC
rnacentral:rRNA from 1 species